GCAGUGGUGGUUCAGUGUUAGAAUUCUUGCAUUCCAUGCAGAGGACCCAGGUUCGAUUCCCGGGCAGUGCA
rnacentral:tRNA from 1 species